rnacentral:lncRNA from 1 species
GUUUAAGAUCUCUUUAUUUCUGGUCUUACUAAAACCAAGAUGAUUAAAGGUUAAAAUUCUACAUUCAUACAUGUUCUAAAAACUCACAAGAUGAUAAAAUACUGUAUUAUUUUAACCAAGUGACACCAGACUUUAGACUCCUCAAGGUCAACACUCCUGGACUCUGGACUCUGAGAAUCAUGCCAGCAAUGAGGGAGAAGAAGCCUCUGAGCCAGCUGUAGUGGGUUCCACUCUUCCAUCUUCCCUGCAUCCUUCACCAUUCUCUGCUCUAAGCCUUUCCUUUGCCCUUCUUGCUCUCCUGCCCAGCUGUUACUUGCCACAGAGGUCUUCCAGAGACCCUAUUCCUACACAAACAAAGGACCCAAACCCUCCUUUCAACCCCACUGAUGAGCCUCCCCCUUACUGAGUUCCACUAAGCCCACCUGCUCCCUCCACACCACCAUUCCAAACACCCUUCAGCCCUCCCAUUACCCAAUCUCACACAGCCAUUUGAGAGCCUGCCCUUUUACUCCCUCUUCAGGAAGUGCUGGGUCUGAGGAGGUAGGCAGAGUUCAUGUGCCCUUCUCUCUAGGUGAUCUCUUCCAAAUCAAGAGACACCUAGGAUCAUUUGCCUCCAACCCUAACACAUCUACCAAGGAGUUACAGUACAUAACAUAGGCCAAAAUCUCACCUUUAAUAAUAUGCACGAGAUCCUAUCC